rnacentral:rRNA from 1 species
GACGAACGCUGGCGGCGUGCUUAACACAUGCAAGUCGAACGGAAAGGCCCUGCUUUUGUUGGGUGCUCGAGUGGCGAACGGGUGAGUAAAACGCGAGUAACCUGCCCCUGACAUUGGGAUAACUUUAGGAAAAUGGGGCUAAUAUCGGGUAGAAGCUCUUGCAGCAUGGUGGGGGUUGGAAAGUUUCGGCGGUUGGGGCACGUCUAGCGGUUUCUCAGCUUGUUGGUGAGGUAGUGGCUUACCAAGGCUUUGAAGGGUAGCCUGCCUGAGAGGGUGGCCGGCCACAUUGGGACUGAGAUACGGACCAGACUCCUACGGGAGGCAGCAGUGGGGAAUAUUGCACAGUGGGCGGAAGCCUGAUGCAGCAACGCCGCGUGCGGGAUGACGGCCUUCGGGUUAUAAACCGCUGUCGCCGGUGACGAAGCGUGAGUGACGGUAAUGGGUAAAGAAGCACCGGCUAACUACGUG